AGAGUUUGAUCAUGGCUCAGGAUGAACGCUGGCGGUAUGCUUAAUACAUGCAAGUCGAGCGGUAAGGUUCUGCACUUUUUAUUUAAUCGCGUCUGGUCGCAUAGGGUUUACUCUAUGCAUCGCCAUCAAAGAUAGAGACAGUAGCUAUAUUGUUUUCUCGGAGAUCUAGGUGAGUUGGCCAGCGAAAAUCCCUGUCAGGCUAGAGAGGGAACAGAUUGAAUACAGAGUGUAGAAUACACGAGCGGCGGACGGGUGAGUAACGCGUAAGAAUGUACCCCAAAGUGAGGAAUAAUUCCGGGAAACCGGGACUAAUGCCGCAUGUGCUCUUCGGAGUAAAGCUUUAUGCGCUUUGGGAACAGCUUGCGUCUGAUUAGCUUGUUGGUAAGGUAACGGCUUACCAAGGCGACGAUCAGUAGCUGGUCUGAGAGGAUGACCAGCCACACUGGGACUGAGACACGGCCCAGACUCCUACGGGAGGCAGCAGUAGGGAAUUUUCCACAAUGGGCGAGAGCCUGAUGGAGCAAUACCGCGUGAUGGAUGAAGGCCCUAGGGUCGUAAACAUCUUUUGUCUGUGACGAAUAUGACGGUAGCAGACGAAUAAGGAUCGGCUAACUACGUGCCAGCAGCCGCGGUCAUACGUAGGAUCCAAGCGUUAUCCGGAUUUACUGGGUAAAGAGUUGCGUAGGUGGUCUGUUAAGCAAAUAGUGAAAUCGUGUGGCUCAACCAUGCAUCCAUUAUUUGAACUGGCAGACUUGAGAGUGAGAGAGGUAGAUGGAAUUGCUAGUGUAGGAGUGGAAUCCGUAGAUAUUAGCAGGAACACCGAUGGCGUAGGCAGUCUACUGGCUCAUUUCUGACACUAAGGCACGAAAGCGUGGGGAGCAAACGGGAUUAGAUACCCUAGUAGUCC
rnacentral:rRNA from 1 species